rnacentral:lncRNA from 1 species
AUUUUUGCAACUUGCAAGCUCGUCGCCGCCACACUUGAGUUGGACAAGUGUGGUAACGUACAAAAUUGUAAUACAUUUCCAUCUGUGCGCCUACCAGUUAUCAAAGUUAGGGGUGGGCAGAAAAUUAAAGAAUCGAACCGAACCGGUUCUAUUCGGUUUGAUAAUUCAUUCGGUUGUCUGAUAACCUCAAUUAGACGGUUCGAUUUCGGUUGGGAUCGAUGAAAACCGAAACCGGACCGAGAUAAGCUAACAACCAAACCAUCACCAUCGAGUAAAACAUAACUCACAAAUCUCCUCUUUCUUAUCCAAAUUUCACAACCCUCGUCGCCGUCGCGUCUCACAUAGUCAGCCGUCGGGUCUCACAGAGCCAGCCAUAGCCGUCCGUCAGCCGCAGUCGAGCUUGCCAUCUAAGGUCAGUUUCUCUCUCUAUCUUUGCCGCACUUUCUAGUUUUGUUUUUGUUUAUUUCUGGUUAGUUUCUCUCUGUUUAUUCUUAUGGGCUCGACCCAAAAUAAGCUCUGGUUAUAUUUUGUUUAAUGCUUGAUAAUGGGGUUUCUGUUGACAAAUUCUCAGCAUCGUUAGUUUUGAAAGCAUGUUCUCGGUUGGGUUUGAUUGUGGAAGGAUUGCAAAUUCAUGAGUUGUUGAGGAAAGUGACAUUUGGGUCAGAUUUAUUUUUGAUAAAAUAGGAAUGAGAGACUUGGUUUCCUAUAAUAUCAUGAUUGAUGGGUAUGUUAAAGAGUGGUAACAUUGAGUCAGCUCGUCAGUCGUUUGAUUCUAUGCCUAUAAUUCCAUGAGUGGUGGGUAUGUUUUGUUUGAUGCUUAAUGGUUUUGCGCAGUUCAAAGCUGGGCUCGAGUUCGCUUAGCAUAAGUUUGAGAAAAUGCCUG